rnacentral:rRNA from 1 species
ACGAACGCUGGCGGCGUGCUUAACACAUGCAAGUCGAACGGAAAGGCCCUGCUUUUGUGGGGUGCUCGAGUGGCGAACGGGUGAGUAACACGUGAGUAACCUGCCCUUGACUUUGGGAUAACUUCAGGAAACUGGGGCUAAUACCGGAUAGGAGCUCCUGCUGCAUGGUGGGGGUUGGAAAGUUUCGGCGGUUGGGGAUGGACUCGCGGCUUAUCAGCUUGUUGGUGGGGUAGUGGCUCACCAAGGCUUUGACGGGUAGCCGGCCUGAGAGGGUGACCGGCCCAUGUGGGGUAGAAGGUCGGCCCCGACCCCCAGGGGGGGGGAAGGGGGGGAAGUAUGACAGAGGGGGGGAGAGCGGUACACGGAGCGCCCCGGGGGGGAAUAGGGGCCUUGGGGUGUAAACCCUCUUCCCCCGGGAAGAGGCGGGGUGGGAGGUAAAGGAAAAAGAAAGCCCCGGCUAACGACGGC